CCCUUAGAUGUUCUGGGCCGCACGCGUGCUACACUGAGUGGAUCAGCGGGUCAGGUUGCGCGAAAGUGUUUCCUAAUCUUGAAAUCCGCUCGUGAUGGGGAUUGACGGUUGCAAUUUUCUGUCAUGAACGAGGAAUACCUUGUAAGCGCGGGUCAUCAUCCCGCGCUGAAUACGUCCCUGCCCUUUGUACACACCGCCCGUCGCUCCUACCGAUUGAACGGUUUAGUGAGGGCCUCGGAUUGGUCUCGGCCCGCUCUUUACCGGGCGGCGCCGUUGGUCGAGAAGACGCUCGAACUUGAUCGUUUAGAGGAAGUAAAAGUCGUAACA
rnacentral:rRNA from 1 species